rnacentral:tRNA from 2 species
GGCGAAGUAGAGCAAUGGUUAGUUCAUCGGUCUCAUGAUCCGGAGGUUGUCGUUCGAUUCGACACUUCGCUC